GCCAGAGGAGAACUGGCCCCCGACUGAGCCUGGGUUCUCCCAAGGUUUUUUUCUCCAUCCAAUCUGAUGGAGUUUUGGUUCCUUGCCACUGUCGCCUUGCUUUUGGCUUGCUUAGUUGGGGAUAUUUAAUAUUCAACAAUAUUAUUGAACUGUGUUGUACUACUUUAAUGUUAUCACUGUGAAGCUGCUUUGAUGCAAUCUGUAUUGUGAAAAGCGCUAUAUAAAUAAAUGUGACUUGACUUGACUUGA